AUGUCCUCAUACAUGAGGGACAUGGGGGAAGUUAACAGCCCAAUGUCCCCCUUGAUGGCAC
rnacentral:pre_miRNA from 1 species